rnacentral:rRNA from 1 species
GAUGAACGCUGGCGGCGUGCUUAACACAUGCAAGUCGAACGAAGCAGUUUAUCACGAUCCCUUCGGGGUGACGAUUUACUGACUGAGUGGCGGACGGGUGAGUAACGCGUGGGUAACCUACCUUGUACAGGGGGACAACAGUUGGAAACGACUGCUAAUACCGCAUAAGCGCACAGCUUCGCAUGAAGCAGUGUGAAAAGUUUUUUCGGUACAAGAUGGACCCGCGUCUGAUUAGCUAGUUGGUGAGGUAACGGCCCACCAAGGCGACGAUCAGUAGCCGACCUGAGAGGGUGACCGGCCACAUUGGGACUGAGACACGGCCCAAACUCCUACGGGAGGCAGCAGUGGGGAAUAUUGCACAAUGGGCGAAAGCCUGAUGCAGCGACGCCGCGUGAGCGAAGAAGUAUUUCGGUAUGUAAAGCUCUAUCAGCAGGGAAGAUAAUGA